rnacentral:lncRNA from 1 species
GGGGGGACGCCCAAACCACAUCAGUUUGGCAAUAGGUACUGGUCAGAGCCGGAGACCAGGAUGACCCUGCGCCCUCCGCUGAGGUGUAGAGUGACCAGCGAGGGGAACUCCAGGGUAAAACAGAGUGGCAACCCCUAAGGACCUGGGGGACAAACAGCACAAAGAUCCUUUAAUGAAGCAUUUUCAGAGCUUAGGAUAUUUCCAACAAAAUAUUUUCCCCAAAAGAUGUCUUUAAUAAUACUGGAUGCGUUGAUUUUAAGAGGGUCCUAAAGAGACACGUUUGAGUCACCGGUCUCUCUCCCGUGUACUGGUAUUUUCAAUACAUAAUGUCUGGAGCAGAGCAUGGAAAUGGCCUGAAAAUAGCCUCUCCUUUGCAUGCAGGAACACACAGAUGAGAGGAUGUGUCUUCAGGAGCAAGGGAUUUUGAAACAUAUUAAGAAAUCAGAAAUAAUCGACUUCAAAGUGCCACACACCUUGAUGACGUGCACAUCAGUGGGCAUUGAUUUUGUGACUUUGCCAAGUACACAGAAAGUCGCCCCUUCCUCCCACCUGCACUGUGGAAAGUAGUUGAACCUGAGGGGCGAGAGAAGGAGAAGAAAGGCUGCAAUUUUCCCGGAGCCUUUGUGAUGAUUUGAAUAUCUAGGAUUUGAAUAUUCAUUCAUUCCAACCUAAAGUUCGUACAGUGUUGGGCAUGUCUCUUGCCGCCAGCUGUGUGGUGGGCAGUGUGGGGUGUGAAGCCUCGUAACGCCUGUACUGACUGACUGUGCCUGGGCUGCUGAUUGUCCGACUUCCUUCUCCAUCCCACUACAUGGAUGAAUACAGGUAAGGUGUGAACUUCGUAGUCUUCAGAACAAGCCUGAUAUACAAUGCAAUCUUUGCUGCUAUCAAAUGUGAUCUAAACAUCUUAACUCUUCAAUGAACACUGAUGAGUUCUGUGAUUAAUAUACUUUAGAGCAACACUAGGACACUUGAUGCAAGCUG